GGGUGAACGCUGGCGACGUGGAUAAGGCAUGCAAGUCGAACGGUCUGGUGCUUGCACCAGAUAGUGGCAAACGGGUUAGUAUAACGUAGGAAUCUACCUCAAAGUCUGGGAUAACUCAGAGAAAUCUGAGCUAAUACCAGAUAGUUCCCGCAAUACUGCGGGAUAAAGAUUUAUCGCUUUGAGAGGAGCCUGUGCCCCAUCAGCUUGUUGGUAAGGUAAAAGCUUACCAAGGCUAUGACGGGUAGGGGAAGUGAGAGCUUGUCCCCCAACAGAGGUACUGAGACACGGACCUCACACCUACGGGUGGCAGCAGUCGAGAAUCUUCCACAAUGGGCGAAAGCCUGAUGGAGCGACGUCGCGUGAAUGAUGAAUCCCUUCGGGGUGUAAAAUUCUCUUCUAGGUGAGAAAACUUUUGUUGAUGUUAACCUAGGAAUAAGGGGCGGCUAAUCUCGUGCCAGAAGCCUCGGUAAUACGAGAGCCCCAAGCGUUACCCGAAUUUACUGGGCGUAAAGCGUAAGUAGGCGGUUUUAAUAGUGGUUGGUUAAAUCUUGAAGCUCAACUUCAAAACUUCUGACCAAACGUUAAGACUAGAGCAAGCGAGAGGCCAAUGGAACUCAGCAAGUAGGGGUUAAAUCCGUUGAUAUGCUGGGGAACACCAAAGGCGAAGGCAAUUGGCUGGUGCUUUGCUGACGCUGAAUUACGAAAGCGUGGGGAUAAAAAAGGAUUAGAUACCCUUGUAUUCCACGCCCUAAACGAUGUCCACUAGCCGCUUGAAAUAUCGACCGUUUGAGUGGCGAAGCUAACGCGUUAAGUGGACCGCCUGGGAAGUACGGUCGCAAGACUAAAACUCAAAGGAAUAGACGGGAGCUUGCACAAGCGGUGGAUCAUGUGGUUUAAUUCGAUGUUACGCGAGGAACCUUACCAGGGUUUGAAAUCCUAAUGACAGCCUUUCGAAAGAUAGGCCUCCUUUACGGCAUUAGGGUCAGGUGAUGCACGGUCGUCGUCAGUCUGAGUUGUGAAAUGCUCCCUCAAUUGGGGUAUCAGACGCAACCCUUGCUCUGUGUUAUACGUGUCACAGAGGACUGCCUCCGAAUAGGGGGAGGAAGGCGAGGAUGACGCCAGAUCAGCGUGUCCCUUUGAUACCCUGGGCUACACACAUGAUACAAUGGUUAGGACAAUGGGUUGCCAAGCCGUAAGGCGGAGCUAAUCCCAUCAAACCUAGCCCCAGUUCGGAUUGAAGGCUGCAACUCGCCUUCAUGAAGAUGGAAUCGCUAGUAAUCGUGAAUCAGCCAUAUCACGGUGAAUACGUUCCCAAGCUUUGUACUCACCGCCCAACAUACUAGGGAAGCUGGUAAUACCCGAAAUAUCACUUUAUGUGGUCCUACGGUAGGAUCAGUGACCAGAGUGAAG
rnacentral:rRNA from 1 species